rnacentral:rRNA from 1 species
GACGAACGCUGGCGGCGUGCUUAACACAUGCAAGUCGAGCGGAAAGGCCCUUUUGGGGUACUCGAGCGGCGAACGGGUGAGUAACACGUGAGUAAUCUGCCCUUCACUUUGGGAUAGCCACCGGAAACGGUGAUUAAUACCGGAUACGACCACCGUGGGCAUCCACUGGUGGUGGAAACUGUUUGGGUGGGGGAUGUGCUCGCGGCCUAUCAGCUUGUUGGUGGGGUAAUGGCCUAGCAAGGCUUGGACGGGUAGCCGGCCUGAGAGGGUGACCGGCCACACUGGGAUUGAGACACGGCCCAGACUCCUGCGGGAGGCAGCAGUGGGGAAUAUUGGACAAUGGGCGGAAGCCUGAUCCAGCAACGCCGCGUGAGGGAUGACGGCCUUCGGGUUGUAAACCUCUUUCAGCACCGACGAAGCGCAAGUGACGGUAGGUGCAGAAGAAGGACCGGCCAACUACGUGCCAGCCGCCGCAGUAAGAC